GACGAACGCUGGCGGCGUGCUUAACACAUGCAAGUCGAGCGGUAAGGCCCUUUCGGGGUACGACGAGCGGCGAACGGGUGAGUAACACGUGGGUGACCUGCCCUCAGCUCUGGGAGUAAGCCUGGGAAACGUGGGUCGUAAUACUGGAUAUGACUCCACGGUGCAUGUCGUGGGGUGGAAAGCCUUGUGCGGCUGAGGAUGGGCCCGCGGCCUAUCAGCUUGUUGGU
rnacentral:rRNA from 1 species